CUACGGGAUGCAGCAGUCGAGAAUCUUUUGCAAUGCGCGAAAGCGUGACAAUGCGAUGCCGCGUGAGCGAUGAAGGCCUUAGGGUUGUAAAGCUCUGUCAACCUGGAUGAAAUCUUCGGAUCGAACAAAUCUGAAGUUUGACGGUACAGGUAGAGGAAGCCACGGCUAACUCCGUGCCAGCAGCCGCGGUAAUACGGAGGUGGCGAGCGUUGUUCGGAUUUAUUGGGUGUAAAGGGUAUGUAGGUGUUCUGACAAGUCUUUCUUUAAAGACACUGGCUCAACCAGUGAUAUGGGAAGGAAACUGUUGGAAUUGAGUACUGUAGAGGAAAACGGAAUUCCAGGUGUAAGGGUGAAAUCUGUAGAUAUCUGGAGGAACACCAAUGGCGAAAGCAGUUUUCUGGACAGAUACUGACACUGAAAUACGAAAGCUAGGGGAGCAAACAGGAUUAGAUACCCGAGUAGUC
rnacentral:rRNA from 1 species